UAUGAACUUUUUUAUACCCCCGCUUUAAAAAAGGGGGGGUAUACUGUUUUACCUCUGUCUGUCAGUCCGUCCGUCCGUCCGUCCAUCAGUCCGUCAGUCCGUCAGUCCGUCAGUCAGUCCGUCCCAUGAAACUUUCGUCACAUUUUUCUCAGGAACUACACAUCCACCCUUUCUGUAAUUUGGUAUCAACAUUUAUAUAUGUCAGCCAUACCGUGUGAUGCGUUUUCAGAUUCAUCACUUGACAACUUCCUGUUUACCGAACACUUGUCUGAUUUUACACAUGAUAGCCAAGUUGAAAAUUUUCGUCACAUUUUUCUCAGGAACUACAAUACAAGGAUUUCUGAAAUUUGGUUUCAGGAUUUAUAUAAGUCAGCUAUACCGUGUGAUGCGUUUUCAGAUUCAUCACUUGACAACUUCCUGUUUACCGAACACUUGUAUGAUUUUACACAUGAUAACCAAGUAAAAAAUUUUCGUCACAUUUUUCUCAGGAACUACAAUACAAGGAUUUCUGAAAUUUGGUUUCAGGAUUUUUAUAAGUCAGCUAUACCGUGUGAUGCAUUUUCAGAUUCAUCACUCGACAACUUCCUGUUUACCGAACACUUGCAUAUUUUUACACUAUUAAUAUUAUCCACUUGCGGCGGGGGUAUCAUCAGUGAGCAGUAGCUCGCAGUUUCACUUGUUGUUUCAACUAUGA
rnacentral:lncRNA from 1 species